rnacentral:rRNA from 1 species
ACUCAGGUGUUGUUGGGUAGGGGAGCGUUCUGUAAGCCUGUGAAGGUGGCCUGUGAGGGUUGCUGGAGGUAUCAGAAGUGCGAAUGCUGACAUAAGUAACGAUAAAGCGGGUGAAAAGCCCGCUCGCCGGAAGACCAAGGGUUCCUGUCCAACGUUAAUCGGGGCAGGGUGAGUCGACCCCUAAGGCGAGGCCGAAAGGCGUAGUCGAUGGGAAACGGGUUAAUAUUCCCGUACUUGGUGUUACUGCGAAGGGGGGACGGAGAAGGCUAUGUUGGCCGGGCGACGGUUGUCCCGGUUUAAGCGUGUAGGUGUGUGUUCCAGGUAAAUCCGGUUCACUUUAACACUGAGGCGUGACGACGAGGCACUACGGUGCUGAAGCAACAAAUGCCCUGCUUCCAGGAAAAGCCUCUAAGCAUCAGGUAACAUCAAAUCGUACCCCAAACCGACACAGGUGGUCAGGUAGAGAAUACCAAGGCGCUUGAGAGAACUCGGGUGAAGGAACUAGGCAAAAUGGUGCCGUAACUUCGGGAGAAGGCACGCUGACACGUAGGUGAAGUGAUUUACUCAUGGAGCUGAAGUCAGUCGAAGAUACCAGCUGGCUGCAACUGUUUAUUAAAAACACAGCACUGUGCAAACACGAAAGUGGACGUAUACGGUGUGACGCCUGCCCGGUGCCGGAAGGUUAAUUGAUGGGGUCAGCGCAAGCGAAGCUCCUGAUCGAAGCCCCGGUAAACGGCGGCCGUAACUAUAACGGUCCUAAGGUAGCGAAAUUCCUUGUCGGGUAAGUUCCGACCUGCACGAAUGGCGUAAUGAUGGCCAGGCUGUCUCCACCCGAGACUCAGUGAAAUUGAACUCGCUGUGAAGAUGCAGUGUACCCGCGGCAAGACGGAAAGACCCCGUGAACCUUUACUAUAGCUUGACACUGAACAUUGAGCCUUGAUGUGUAG